UGCAAGUCGAGGGGUAACGGAAGUAGCUUGCUACUAGACGACGACCGGCGCACGGGUGAGUAACGCGUAUGUAAUCUGCCUUGUACAGAGGGAUAGCCCAGAGAAAUUUGGAUUAAUACCUCAUAGUAUUACUGAAUCGCAUGAUUUGGUAAUUAAAGCUCCGGCGGUACAAGAUGAACAUGCGUGACAUUAGCUAGUUGGUAAGGUAACGGCUUACCAAGGCUACGAUGUCUAGGGGUUCUGAGAGGAUGAUCCCCCACACUGGUACUGAGACACGGACCAGACUCCUACGGGAGGCAGCAGUGAGGAAUAUUGGUCAAUGGACGCAAGUCUGAACCAGCCAUCCCGCGUGAAGGAUGACUGCCCUAUGGGUUGUAAACUUCUUUUAUAUGCAAAUAAACCUACUUUCGUGAAAGUA
rnacentral:rRNA from 1 species